AGCUGUUCACGGCACCGACACAGAGGACAGAUUGCAGUGCAAGAUAGGAGCGGUCUUCCUGCAAGCCCAGACAAGCCAUAUUGAGUGGUUUCAAAUACAGCAACUGUACCACCACGACAGUGCAGCACAAGAGACCCUAUCGUCAGUGCUGAGUCAGAAAUUAAAUAGAAAAGCGCUUUCUUCUGAAA